AUUGAACGCUGGCGGCAUGCCUUACACAUGCAAGUCGAACGGCAGCGCGGGCUUCGGCCUGGCGGCGAGUGGCGAACGGGUGAGUAAUAUAUCGGAACGUGCCCAGGAGUGGGGGAUAACUAGUCGAAAGACUAGCUAAUACCGCAUACGCCCUAGGGGGGAAAGCGGGGGACCUUCGGGCCUCGUGCUCAUGGAGCGGCCGAUAUCUGAUUAGCUAGUUGGUGGGGUAAGAGCCCACCAAGGCGACGAUCAGUAGCUGGUCUGAGAGGACGACCAGCCACACUGGGACGGAGACACGGCCCGGACUCCUACGGGAGGCAGCAGUGGGGAAUUUUGGACAAUGGGGGCAACCCUGAUCCAGCAAUGCCGCGUGUGUGAAGAAGGCCUUCGGGUUGUAAAGCACUUUUGUCCGGGAAGAAAGCGGGCUGGCGAAUAACCAGCCUGGAUGACGGUACUGGAAGAAUAAGCACCGGCUAACUACGUGCCAGCAGCCGCCGUAAAAC
rnacentral:rRNA from 1 species